CGUCGCGCUGGAUCAACGAGCUCGCCGCCGUUUCCGACGGCGCUGGCACGUUCGCGGCCGCGCCGAACUUCGCGUUCGAACACGCCGCGGCGC
rnacentral:tRNA from 1 species